AUUGAACGCUGGCGGCAGGCCUAACACAUGCAAGUCGAACGGUAACAGGAAGCAGCUUGCUGCUUUGCUGACGAGUGGCGGACGGGUGAGUAAUGUCUGGGAAACUGCCCGAUGGAGGGGGAUAACUACUGGAAACGGUAGCUAAUACCGCAUAACGUCGCAAGACCAAGGAGGGGGACCUUAGGGCCUCUUGCCAUCGGAUGUGCCCAGAUGGGAUUAGCUUGUAGGUGGGGUAACGGCUCACCUAGGGGACGAUCCCUAGCUGGUCUGAGAGGAUGACCAGCCCCACUGGAACUGAGACACGGUCCAGACUCCUACGGGAGGCAGCAGUGGGGAAUAUUGCACAAUGGGCGCAAGCCUGAUGCAGCCAUGCCGCGUGUAUGAAGAAGGCCUUCGGGUUGUAAAGUACUUUCAGCGGGGAGGAAGGGAGUAAAGUUAAUACCUUUGCUCAUUGACGUUACCCGCAGAAGAAGCACCGGCUAACUCCGUG
rnacentral:rRNA from 1 species